GCCAAAUGUGAGCUUAGUCACUUCAAACUUGCCCUCACUCUCAGUAUCAUCGGAUCUGCUAAACCCUCGCUGCCCGACGGCGAGGGUUUUUCUUUGG
rnacentral:sRNA from 1 species